UCAGGAAAAGAAGAGAUGGAAGGAAACUGUUGCUUCAUUUUCUGUUCAUGGAAGGGGAGAGAGAAUAUCUGAGUUUGAUGGGAGCAGGCACAGACAGCAGAAGAGCAGAAAAAUUACUUGAGCAUUUUGAAAUAAAUGUCCUUUUGGGGCCCAAGAUGUCUACCACCCAAUUGGAAAAGCAGGAAAGACCAUGUAAACUUGAGAACCAGUGCAAGUGGUGAGGCUGAGGAGCAAGCAUGUUUCCAAGAUGAAGCACAAAUGCUUUUAUGGCUCUUCCAGGGCAGGGGAUGUUGCAUGCUCAAUGUAUACACUCUAUUCAAAUGUGGAAUGAAUGAUGAAAAGAUGGUUCUUUCCUUGUAUGUUAUUUUGGAUAUGUGGCUGGUCAAAGACUCCUAUAAGGACCAAUAAAAAGGAAGGAUCAUUGGAUUCUAUACUGUCAAUGUCUGACUUUGUCUUGGAAAAAUUG
rnacentral:lncRNA from 1 species